rnacentral:tRNA from 1 species
UUCUUAAAUGUAAGAUUGUCUUACAAGUAGUACUUGCAGAUUAAUGAUAUAAUUUUAUUAUUACUAGAGG